rnacentral:rRNA from 1 species
CUACUCUUGACAUCCAGAGAACUUAGCAGAGAUGCUUUGGUGCCUUCGGGAACUCUGAGACAGGUGCUGCAUGGCUGUCGUCAGCUCGUGUUGUGAAAUGUUGGGUUAAGUCCCGCAACGAGCGCAACCCUUAUCCUUUGUUGCCAGCGGUUAGGCCGGGAACUCAAAGGAGACUGCCAGUGAUAAACUGGAGGAAGGUGGGGAUGACGUCAAGUCAUCAUGGCCCUUACGAGUAGGGCUACACACGUGCUACAAUGGCGCAUACAAAGAGAAGCGACCUCGCGAGAGCAAGCGGACCUCAUAAAGUGCGUCGUAGUCCGGAUUGG